AUGGCGUUGUCCACCAUGGCACUCUCCUCUCCGGCCCUUGCCGCCAAGCAGGCCAAGAUCGCCUCCUUCAACAUCUUCAGCGAGGGUGGGUUGGACUACCUCGGCAACCCCAGCCUCGUCCACGCGCAGAGCAUUCUCGCUAUCUGGGCCUGCCAGGUCGUGCUCAUGGGCGCCGUCGAGGGGUACCGCGUUGCCGGUGGCCCACUCGGUGAGAUCGUCGACCCGCUCUACCCCGGCGGUAGCUUCGACCCCCUGGGGUUGGCCGAUGACCCCGAGGCGUUUGCAGAGCUCAAGGUGAAGGAGAUCAAGAACGGCCGGCUCGCCAUGUUCUCCAUGUUUGGCUUCUUCGUCCAGGCCAUCGUCACCGGCAAGGGGCCCCUUGAGAACCUUGCCGACCACCUCGCCGAUCCCGUCAACAACAACGCCUGGGCAUUCGCCACCAACUUCGUCCCCGGGAAGUGA
rnacentral:rRNA from 1 species